rnacentral:tRNA from 1 species
GCAGUCCUGGUGUAUCGGUCGCACGUCACGCUGAAGACGUGAAGGGCGGAGUUCAAUUCUCCGGGACUGCG